AUGCAGCUCAGCAAACACAGAGAUGGAAAUCCAGGAACGCAGAACAUCAGACAGCAAGGAAGAGAGGGGAGCAGACAGGACAGAGCGAGAACACAGGAGAAGAUAGAGAGAGGGGAGGCCCACACAAGACAAACAUGGCAUAUUCCUCUCAAGCCAGAAGAAGUAGUCCUUGCUAAACAUUACCUCUCAAAAAAAGUAAAGAUGCCACUUCUGACAUGUGCUGUGUAUAUAAAUUGUUAAAGCCUGAUAUGUUCCUAUCACUGAAAGCAAUCAUACAGGCCGCACUGACCAUCCCAGUUAGCAGCUGUGAGAGAUCUUUCAGUGCGUUAAGACGCCUACAAACCUGGUUUAGGAGCCCAAUGACCCAAGAUGGAAUGCAUCAUGAUAAUGAUAUACAUACUAACACGCUGGGGAAAGAGUGAAGUCAUAGACAGGUUUGCACCUACAGUUUCAUUUUGUUUAAUUUCUAAUCUUGAUGGAUAGACUAACAUCCUAGUACUCUGUAAUAUAACUCACAAACAUUGUGAAUAUUUAGUUGGAGAAAGGAUUGCAUGCUCGUAUGUACAUGUGUGUAAAAUUGUGAAGUGUUGUUCCUACAGGGGUGUUGGAGGGUGUGUAUUUGUUUUUGUGUAAUAAAUUAGGUAGAAAUAUUGUCCUGUAGCUAAUUGACCUUGGAAUAUGUGAUUUAUUACCACAAAUGCUAUAAAAUUGGUGCCUGCGUUUGUAAAUAUUAUCUGCAAAAGUUGUCCCCUCCGCUCCCAUUCUAAGUUAUAAUACAAGCCUAUUGCUAAUGUGAGUUCAUGCAGUUUGUGACCGAAAAAUUACAUAUUUACCUGAUUUGCUUGAUAUUAAUAGUUAACAAUUAUAUACUUAACAAAUAGUAAGACACUUCUGUUCUAUUAAAUGCUGUGUGUCUGUAAAGGGAUGGUUUUCACUCUAGCUUCCUGCAGCUAAUCUGGGUGUAUGGUCACUAGAGAUGGCUUGAGCUGACAAAUGAGUUAAAGACUGCAUUCCAUAGACAAGAUGUGGUGGGUGUAACCGGGAUAGGGAUAGCCUGGAGGAGUAGAACAUAAUCCUUAGUCUCAAAAUCAUCCUUGCAUCUGGGAGACUAAGCCGAGUGGGGGUUAAAACAACACCCCCCUGUGUAGAUAACGACAGGAUGAACCCAGAGUGUCUUAUGAUGCCCCAAUCUGCAUGGGACGGGUGGAACCAGCCAAGGCUAAGCAUUUUUAGAUCUACUAUAUAAAGAACUCCGCAUUUCUGUAAAGGUUAAGCUCUCG
rnacentral:lncRNA from 8 species